rnacentral:lncRNA from 1 species
AUGGGAGAAAGAGAAGGAGAGAGAGAAAAGGAGGGGGGGAGGGGGAAGGGGAGGGGAGGGGGAAGGGAGGAGGGGGAGGGGGAGAGGAGGAAGGUGGAGGGAGGAGGAGGAGGGGGAGAGGAGGGUGGAGGGAGAAGGAGGGAAGGGGGAGGGGGAGAGGAGGAAGGAGGGGAGAGGGAGGAGGGAGGAGGGGAGAGGAGAAUAGAGGCCUGGAGGAGCAGGGGCCACAGGGCUGCGUGCCUCAGGAGACCACGGCCCCGGGCAGACACCUGCAGCCUAGCGCUGGGUCCCAGGGGCUGGAAGGCCCCUAGGCCUGGCCUGAGCCCUCCUCCCAGCCCCCUCAUUCACAGGGACCCUCUUGUCCCCAGGGGGGUGUCCUCUGAGGGGGGCUCCUACUACCCCCAGAUCACAGUUUGUGGGUGCGGCGAGCCCCUUGCCACCCAUCACGGACUCCCCUGUGGUGCCAGGCACUGGGCGUGCACCUGCUCUGCGCUGCCCCGACGUGUACGGGGGAGCUGGCACGGGGGCGGUGGCGGGCAGCUGAGGCUCCCCUUCUCUGAGCCCCUGAGCCCCCAGCCUGGCCGUCAGGUCAGGAAGACCUGGGGCCUCAGGCAUGCACAGCCCUGGUCCUAUCUGCAGUUCCUGGAGCGUGGGGAAAACUGCACGCGGUCCCCCCUAGGUGGCCCUCUUCAGGCGCUGCGGUGUCGCCACUGUCCGGCAGGGGCCGCCACGCCACCACAUUCUGUCCCGUGGUGCCGCUGGCCCUGCAGGCCAGCGGGAGGAAGGGAGAGCUGGUUUCCUCCGAGUGGUCGGCCUCCACCCCUGCCCCAUUACUGGGCUUUUGUAAUUCGGGGGCACAGUCGCCCAGCCCCACGGACCAACCCUGAAAGCCCCAAGUGGCAGCCGGCCCAGCCCCCACACCCGUCCCGGACCCCCUGCCCUCCCAACACCGCCCGCCCACCUGAGCCUCCUGGGCCCCACACCUGCAGCCCUAAGCUUCCAGCCUGGACUUCGCCGUACCCCCACCUCCAGGACCCACAAGCCGGGUGUCCCCCAGGAAGCACAGGGCUGUCCUCUGCUGGGCAGGGUGGUAGUCGAUGA